rnacentral:lncRNA from 14 species
UUAAAUGAGAAAUUCGAUGAAAACGGCAAAAAACGGCGCAGGUGAGUCGGGCAGGUGAGUCCAGGUGCGUUUAUUGCUGGGGGGGGAGGGGCUACAGGCACAGCUGGCCACGCCCACUGCGCACCCGGGGGUCAUUUGCAUACCUAGGCCACGCCCAUUCACACCUGGGGGGUCAUUUCCAUACUUAGGCCACACCCACUGAACACCCG